ACAGACAUCAUCAUUGAAUUAGACGGACAGGCACUGCUGCAAUCGAACUUCGCAGCGGUGCGGAGAUGACGGCCGUCUGGUUGUAAACCACUUUCAUGAGGGAAGAAAAGACGGUCCUCCACAAGAAGCUCCGGCCAACUACUGCCAGCAGCCGCGGUAAUACUAGGGAGCAAACGUUGUCCGGAUUUAUUGGGCGUAAAGGGCUCGUAGGCGGUUCAACAAGUCGGUCGUGAAAGCCCGGGGCUCAACCCCGGGAUGCCGGUCGAAACUGUUGUGACUAGAGUUCGGUAGAGGUGAGUGGAAUUCUCGGUGUAGCGGUGGAAUGCCAAUAUCGAGAGGAACACCAUUACGAAGGCGGCUCACUGGGCCGAUACUGACGCUGAGGAGCGAAAGCAUGGGGAGCAAACAGGAUUAGAUACCCUGGUGUCCAUGCCGUAAACNAUGAACACUAGUGUAGCGGAUUUAUUCACAUUUGCUGCGCCGAAGCUAACGCAUUAGUGUUCCGCCUGGGGAGUACGGCCGCAAGGCUAAAACUCAAAUAAUUUGGCG
rnacentral:rRNA from 1 species